rnacentral:rRNA from 1 species
UACCAGCACCCCGAGUGGUCGGGACGUUUAUUGGGCCUAAAGCAUCCGUAGCCGGUUCUACGAGUCUUCCGUUAAAUCCAACUGCUUAACAGGUGGGCUGCGGAAGAUACUAUAGAGCUAGGAGGCGGGAGAGGCAAGCGGUACUCGAUGGGUAGGGGUAAAAUCCGUUGAUCCAUUGAAGACCACCAGCGGCGAAGGCGGCUUGCCAGAACGCGCUCGACGGUGAGGGAUGAAAGCUGGGGGAGCAAACCGG